rnacentral:lncRNA from 1 species
UUUUUAACAAAUGGAGCAGCAUACUGCAUAAUUAACGGACACGAAAGACAUAAAAUCAAUUUAUUAAAAUUCUCCAUAUUAUUUAUAUAAGAAUAAGUAUUUUUAACUUUCUGUAAAAAUUCAAGUCUCAAUUUUUCAUUUUUUUUACAUACAAACAGAAAGUGUUCUUCAUCGUCUAUUUUAUUUAAAAAACAAUGUUGACAUAAACGUUCCUCUUUUUUUAUAUUUCUGUAUCUGCCCCUUUCGAUUUCCAAAAUAUGGUCACUUACCCUUAAUUUAGUAAAACAUUUCCUGAUUUCAGAGUUAUUUUUUAUUAAAUAAGGCUCAAUUUCAUAUUUCUUUUUAACUUUACUAUAAAUAAAUAAUUUAUUAUUUUCUGUUAACGAAUUCAAUUUUUUUUAAAACAGUUUUUUAUAAUUUUCUUG